AGCGGAGGAAAAGAAACCAACAGGGAUUGCCUUAGUAACGGCGAGUGAAGCGGCAACAGCUCAAAUUUGAAAUCUGGCCCUCGGGUCCGAAUUGUAAUUUGUAGAGGAUGAUUUUGGUGCGGUAUCUUCCGAGUUCCUUGGAACAGGACGCCUUAGAGGGUGAGAGCCCCGUACGGUUGAAUGCCUAGCCUCUGUAAAUCUCCUUCGACGAGUCGAGUAGUUUGGGAAUGCUGCUCUAAAUGGGAGGUAAAUUUCUUCUAAAGCUAAAUAUUGGCCAGAGACCGAUAGCGCACAAGUAGAGUGAUCGAAAGAUGAAAAGCACUUUGAAAAGAGGGUUAAAUAGCACGUGAAAUUGUUGAAAGGGAAGGAUUUGUGACCAGACUUUUUCUGGGCGGAUCAUCCGGGGUUCUCUCCGGUGCACUUUGCCCAGUAAAGGCCAGCAUCGAUUUUCGGCGGCGGAUAAAAGCAGUGGGAAUGUGGCUCCCUACGGGGAGUGUUAUAGCCCAUUGUAUAAUACGCUGCUGGGGAUCGAGGUACGCGCUUCUGCAAGGAUGCUGGCGUAAUGGUUAUCAAUCACCCGUCUUGAA
rnacentral:rRNA from 1 species